rnacentral:rRNA from 1 species
AUUGAACGCUGGCGGCAUGCUUUACACAUGCAAGUCGGACGGCAGCACAGAGAAGCUUGCUUCUUGGGUGGCGAGUGGCGACCGGGUGAGUAACAUAUCGGAACGUACCGAGCAGUGGGGGAUAACUAAUCGAAAGAUUAGCUAAUACCGCAUAUUUUCUGAGGAAGAAAGCAGGGGACCUUUGGGCCUUGCGCUGUUUGAGCGGCCGAUAUCUGAUUAGCUAGUUGGUGGGGUAAAGGCCUACCAAGGCGACGAUCAGUAGCGGGUCUGAGAGGAUGAUCCGCCACACUGGGACUGAGACACGGCCCAGACUCCUACGGGAGGCAGCAGUGGGGAAUUUUGGACAAUGGGCGCAAGCCUGAUCCAGCCAUGCCGCGUGUCUGAAGAAGGCCUUCGGGUUGUAAAGGACUUUUGUCAGGGAAGAAAAGGGCGGGGUUAAUACCCCUGUCUGAUGACGGUACCUGAAGAAUAAGCACCGGCUAACUACGUG